GGCCUAGCCAGUCUCAGAGCCAAGGUCACACCGCCCUACACCUUGCUGUCCCCACAGCAUCUGCAGGAGGAGCAUGCCAGGACCAGAGACCCAGGGAGCAGCCUCACCAGAGGGAAAAGAGCCUGUAGAGUGGUGAGCUCAGGGCCUCACUCUGUCCCCCAGGCCGGAGUGCAGUGACAUGAUACGGCCCUCCCCAGCCUCUACCUCCUGGGCUCAAGAGAUCCUCCUGCCGCGGACUUCCUGGUAGCUGGGAUGAGGGGUAACGGGAAUGGCAGGACUGUGGUUGAGCUUUGGGAGCCCGGGAAGGAAGGAUACUGGAGCUGGGCUGAUCCAGGACAGCUUCCUGGAGGAGGCGGGAUUUAAACUGGUCAAUGAGAAUUUGCCAUUUGCUUCAAUUGGGCACCUGAAGGCAUCAGUAAUCUGGUUUCACCUCGGACCACAUUCAGGCUCCACGAAACCCUUCUGGGUGUGAGGUACAGAGCUCAGCACGCUGCUGGUCCUUAAAAAAAGAACCACAUGAGGGCAAUAAUCACGAGAGGACUGUGGUGCUAUGUGAAGAAGAAAUGAAACUCAUCCAUGAUAAUGGAGAUGAAAAUCCUAGUUCUUAGGACGGCCUCAAACUUUAGAAAACCUCACACGGACUCAGGGAGAAGAGAGGGGCUAGGUGGGUGUGCAGAGUCCCCCAGUGGCUUGUUUUCAUUGGAAUAAUAACAUCUUACAUUUCGAUGUGGUAAUGUCGCUGUUAAAACGCACUUCUCAUUGUUAGAAAUAAAAAUGACUCAAAGAUGUGAAAGCUUUUCUCCAUUCAGUGACUUACAUGGGGGUUUUCCCAUGAAGGCCUUAGGAGAGGCUGUGAGGCAGCUUAUGCAAGGCUGCUUUCCGCAUCUCUAAGGAGGGUGGAAUGGGAAAUAAAACCAAUAAACUGUAAACUGCUCUCAGAAGAAUUCCUUCCAGCUGAAUUACAGAAACUUAGGCAAGGCUGCUACUAAGUUUAUGGGCUAGCAGUAAGUUUUCCUGCCCUCAUGGCUUUGGGGAAACUCUGAUGACUAUUCCGCUAGAAGGAGUAAUGAGUCAAAGACUGCCCUUAAAUCCUGCAAAAGAGGAUCUGGAAAAAAUACCUGGCACCCCCAUGACUAUCCUUCCCACCACCUGGUACAACCAGAAGUGAAAAUGCCUCAAGUUGAUGUUGAAACAAUAACUCAUCUCACCCUCCACAAAGGCACAGGACAUCUCUCAGCAACAGAGAUCUUUCCUCUAAUCGGAAAGUACACUCUUUGG
rnacentral:lncRNA from 1 species